rnacentral:lncRNA from 1 species
AUGCUGCCCUGGAUGCAGGCCAGCUGGGCCGCACCCCAGGCUCCUGUCACAGGGCGUGGUGGGCACACUCACAAAGACACACACUGUCUCUCAGACACACGCAGAGAGAAACAAAUACACAUUCACACCAGAUACACACAUAGCCACACAGGCCUACGAGGAACACAGACCCAGACACGUAGACACACGCCCAGGGACACACAUACACACACAGACAUAGGCACCUUCAGAGACACAUACAACACGCAUAGACACAUAGGUCAGACACACACACAGACACUUUCACACAGAAGCAUGCACGUUUGGAGAGAGACAUGUAACACUCAUUCAUACACACUCAUACACACACGGGAUACAUGCACACCCUGUAAGAAACACACGCAGACACACACAUACACACAUACCCUCACAGAGGUACAUAUUGCCAGAGAGAGAUGGACAUACACACACCUAGAUAUACUCACAGACACACAUACCCAAAUACUCAUCACACACAAAGACACACCUAGAGAGACACACACACACGCACACAAGCUCAUGACCUUUCCCAGGUGGGAGGGGCCUCCCUCAACCAGCUCAUCUGCUACCCAUGAAACCCCACUCGGCAGGCCCUUGGGAACGGGCUCAGGACCAGGCAGGUCCCUGUUUCCUCCAUGCACGGCCUCUUUGGAUCUGUCCCCAGGUCCUCAAGUCUGUGCCCACCCCUACCUCCAGGAGCCUCCAGGCACUGCCCACAGGCUCUUAACCCCACUGGAGUCUAGCCCCAGCUCCUGCUCCAGCUUCCCUGGCCUUCUUCCCCCAUUCACCAAGACCCCGGCUUCCUGCUGCUCAGAUGUGCUCCCCACUUCUGCAUCCAGCUCCUGCUCAUCUUUCAAAUGUCCCCUCAAAUGUCCCCUCCCUUGGAGAAGGUGCUCCCUCCCUCGGCUGGCAUCACGUCUGUCUGUCCCUUAUCCACCUGUCCCACCAUACUGGGCCCCGCGGAGAGCAGGGACAGGCCUUUCUGUUUCCCUGGCAGCCCAGGGGCGGGGAGGCACCGACACCAUCGGCUAA